rnacentral:rRNA from 1 species
UACGACGGGUGAAAGCGUGAAUCGGAAUUACUGGGCGUAAAGCGCGCGUAGGUGGUUCAGCAAGUUGGAUGUGAAAUCCCCGGGCUCAACCUGGGAACUGCAUCCAAAACUACUGAGCUAGAGUACGGUAGAGGGUGGUGGAAGUUCCUGUGGAGCGGUGAAAUGCGUAGAUAUAGGAAGGAACACCAGUGGCGAAGGCGACCACCUGGACUGAUACUGACACGGAGGUGCGAAAGCGUGGGGAGCACACAGGAGGAGAUACCCGUGGAGUCC